rnacentral:rRNA from 1 species
UACGGGGGGGGCGAGCGUUGUUCGGAAUCACUGGGCGUAAAGGGCGCGUAGGCGGCCCGCACAAGUCUGCGGUGAAAACCCCCGGCUUAACCGGGGGCCGGCCGUGGAAACUGUCGGGCUGGAGGCUGGGAGAGGGCAGCGGAAUUCUCGGUGUAGCGGUGAAAUGCGUAGAUAUCGAGAGGAACACCUGCGGCGAAGGCGGGUUGCUGGGCUGAUACUGACGCUGAGGCGCGAAAGCCAGGGGAGCGAACGGG